rnacentral:misc_RNA from 1 species
AGGGCAUCGGCGGCCAUUUUCGACGCUGUCGGUGAGAUGAAAGGCUCACUAUAAACAUCCAAAGGUCCCUAACCUCAGUUUCAUCACACGAUAUAUAGCGACUGUUUCCGGGUAUUUGAUCAUCUGCUAUUGCAGCGAAAUGGGAAAUACAUCCGUUGUUGCGACAGGCGUCAAGAAUCAAGCGGACAAUGAUUCAAAACAACUUUAUCAGCUCGUCAACCUGAGAGGGGGCGGUGAACUUGUAGAGCUAAUGAAACGGGCAAGGUGGACGAAAAAUUACAAGGAAAUUGAUGAAAAACUUAAAAACGAAGUGAAGGGCUAUUUAUAUAACGAUGGCAAAGGAAAGAAAGUGCCCAUUGUUGAUCUUAUCAUGGCAAGAAAUAAAGACAGGCAGAAAAGCAAAAUCAAGGUUGGCAAGGAGAAGCAGAAAAAGGCGAAAGAAUUGGCGAUGAUAGACAUGAUUCUUCAAGAUGGAGAGAGCACGGGAACGUAUAUGCAACAUAAACCUCAAGAUGAAGGUCAUUCUCUAUUGGAGAACCCCCCUGCUGCUAUAGAGCGCAAGUAUCGCGAGGUGUGCUGGGAGCUUGACUCGCGGGGCCAGGUCGGGGAGACCAUCUUGCAUCUGUGUCUCCUCAACUCCUCGGCAAUCCAUGCUGACCUGGCCAAGCGUCUUCUCCGACUCUACCCUCAACUGCUUAACGACAUCUACAAUGGAGAGGAGUACUAUGGUGAGAACUGCCUCCACAUGGCUAUCACCAAUGAGGAUCCAGCUAUGGUCAAGUUCCUCCUGGACCUCGGUGCAGACUACCAUGGCCGCUGCUGUGGCAACUUCUUCUGCCCCGAUGACCAGAAGGACUCCCGGACGGACAGUCUUGACCAUGAGUGUGUGCAGGUCUGUGAGAAGACAAACUAUGAAGGCCAUGUAUAUUUGGGUGAGUACCCACUGAGUUUUGCUGCCUGCCUGGGUCAGGAGGAGUGUGUGCGGCUGCUGAUCGCAAAGGGCGCAGACCCAAACCUUCAGGACAACAAUGGCAACACCGUAAUGCACAUGUUGGUAAUUCAUGACAAGAAGACAGAUAAACACCAGGAUAUAAAGGUUCCGAUGCUGCUGGAAAUGUUUGACCUGCUUCAUGGUCUUGGUGCCAGGCUGGACAUUAAGAACCGACAAGGACUCACCCCUCUCACUCUGUCUUCAAAACUGUCCAGGAAAGAUAUGUAUGAGCACAUCCUGGAGAUAGAGCGCGAGGUGUUCUGGCUCUUUGGGAAUGUUACCUGUGCUGGGUACCCUCUGGAGGACAUUGACACCAUCUCGUCAACAGGGGAGAUCAACAAGGACUCCGCCCUCAAUCUCAUUGUAUACGGGGAAGAGGAGGGUCACCUGGACAUGAUGGAUGGUUUGGUGGUCAACCUACUGAAGGAGAAAUGGAAGACAUUUGCCAGAUUCAGAUUCUAUCGGCGAUUCCUCUGCUUUGGUCUUUAUUUCCUGACCUUUGUCGUGGCCUUUGCCCUCCGACCCGGCAAGGAUCUGUGUGCCUACGCCAACUCGACGACGACGCUGCAUGGCUGUAAGCCGAUGAACGAGAACAGGACGAUGAACCCGUGCUACCUUUUGCAACCAUACAGGACCAAUGACAUUGUGCGGCUUGUCUUGGAGUCGAUGGUAUUGAUUGGCGCCAUGGUCUACAUAUUCCUGGCAAUGAAGGAGAUCUACCACCAGGGCUUUCGUAUCUUCUUCACCACACUGCGUGGUGCACCGGCCAAGGCGUUAUUUCUGUGCUCCUGCAUCUUCGUGCUGAUGAUGUUGCCAGGUCGAGCAUUCUGUUUCCACGAGUACGAAGACAUCAUGGGUGUCCUUGCCAUCCUCUGCACAGCGCCAUACUCGCUGUUCUUCUGCAGAGGUUUCCGUAUUGUUGGCCCGUUUGUAGUGAUGAUCUACAAGAUGAUCAAAGGGGACCUGCUGAGAUUCUUCAUCAUUUAUGCUGUCUUCGUCAUCGGCUUCUCGCAAGCAAUGUUCAUAGUGUUCCGCGGUGUGACUGCGACGGUGUUUGCUGAUCCAGGGGGCGCUAUAAUGGGCAUGUUUGUCAUGUCGCUGGGCCAGUUCGGAGAUAUCUAUGACUCCUUCAUUGAGACUCAGUAUCCCAUCAUGGGCAAACUAUUUAUGUCCCUUUCCGCAACAAGUCCAGUGUGUUUGCCAGUCCCAUAGAAGCAAUCUUUGGUAUGUUUGCCAUGUCCGUCGGUGACUUCGAAGACUUGUAUGAAGACUUUGAAGUUAAGCUCCAAACUCCCUUUAAAGAACUGGCCGGAAUUCUGUUCAUGGCCUAUAUGAUCAUGGUGACGCUGCUGCUGGUGAACAUGCUGAUCGCCAUGAUGGGCAACACAUACCAGGUCAUCAGUGAAACUCAGAAGGAGUGGUUCAGACAG